CCUACGGGUGGCAGCAGUGAGGAAUAUUGGACAAUGGGCGGAAGCCUGAACCAGCGAAGUCGCGUGAGGGAAGACUGCCCUAUGGGUUGUAAACCCCUUUUGUCAGGGGGCAAGUGGCGCUAAGUGUAGCGUUAUCGAGAGUACCUGAAGAAAAAGCAUCGGCAAACUCCGUGCCAGCAGCCGCGGUAAUACGGAGAAUGCGAGCGUUAUCCGGAUUUAUUGGGGUAAAAGGGUGCGUAGGCGGAAUGCACAGUCGGCGUGAAAAUCGCGGGGCUCAACCUCGCUCCGCCGUUGAAACUGGCGUUCUUGAGUGGGCGAGAAGUAUGCGGAAUGCGUGGUGUAGCGGUGAAAUGCAUAGAUAUCACGCAGAACUCCGAUUGCGAAGGCAGCAUACCGGCGCCCAACUGACGCUGAAGCACGAAAGCGUGGGUAUCGAACAGGAUUAGAUACCCCUGUAGUC
rnacentral:rRNA from 1 species